rnacentral:rRNA from 1 species
UACCCUACGGGGCGCAGCAGUCGGGAAUAUUGCGCAAUGGAGGAAACUCUGACGCAGUGACGCCGCGUAUAGGAAGAAGGUUUUCGGAUUGUAAACUAUUGUCAUUAGGGAAGAUAAAAGACUGUACCUAAGGAGGAAGCCCCGGCUAACUACGUGCCAGCAGCCGCGGUAAUACGUAGGGGGCGAGCGUUAUCCGGAUUUACUGGGUGUAAAGGGAGCGUAGACGGCGUCGCAAGUCUGAAGUGAAAGCCCGUGGCUCAACCGCGGAACCGCUUUGGAAACUGCGAGGCUGGAGUGCUGGAGAG